rnacentral:rRNA from 1 species
AACGAACGCUGGCGGCAUGCCUAACACAUGCAAGUCGAACGAGACCUUCGGGUCUAGUGGCGCACGGGUGCGUAACGCGUGGGAACCUGCCCUUAGGUUCGGAAUAACUCCCCGAAAGGGGUGCUAAUACCGGAUAAUGUCUUCGGACCAAAGAUUUAUCGCCUUUGGAUGGGCCCGCGUUGGAUUAGCUAGUUGGUAGGGUAAAAGCCUACCAAGGCGACGAUCCAUAGCUGGUCUGAGAGGAUGAUCAGCCACACUGGGGCUGAGACACGGCCCAGACUCCUACGGGACGGUGCAGUGUGGUAUAUUGGACGAUGGGGGAAAGCCUGAUCCAGCAAUGCCGCGUGAGUGAUGAAGGCCUUAGGGUUGUACAGCUCUUUUACCCGGGAUGAUAAUGACAGUACCGGGAGAAUAAGCUCCGGCUAACUCCGUG